rnacentral:misc_RNA from 1 species
UGGUUCUGGCAUCGAUGAAGAACGCAGCGAAAUGCGAUAAGUAAUGUGAAUUGCAGAAUUCAGUGAAUCAUCGAAUCUUUGAACGCACAUUGCGCCCCUCGGCAUUCCGGGGGGCAUGCCUGUUCGAGCGUCAUUGCAACUCUCAAGCGUAGCUUGGUCUUGGGUCACACCCCCCCGGGUGGACUCGAAAAAUAGCGGCGGUCCGGGGGACUCCGAGCGCAGUCAAAUUCAUCGCUUCGCAAGUCCUUUCGGCCCGGCCGAAAACCUACUACUUUUCAAUGAUUGACCUCGGAUCAGGUAGGGAUACCCGCUGA